GGACAGAAGGGAGCUUUGCUCCCGGAUGUACGCGGCGGACGGGUUGACUACCACGUGGGUACCCUGCUUUUAAGACUGGAAUAACUCCGGGAAACCGGAGCUAUUACCCGGAUUGUUCCUUGAUCGGCAUGGUUCAAGGGUGAAAGACGGUUUCGGGCUGUCACUUACAGAUGGACCCGCGGCGCAUUAGCUAGUGUGUGAGGUAACGCCUCCCCAAGGCGACGAUGCGUAGCCGACCUGAGAGGGUGAUCGGCCACACGGGGACUGAGACACGGCCCAGACUCCUACGGGAGGCAGCAGUAGGGAAUCUUCCGCAAUGGACGAAAGUCUGACGGAGCAACGCCGCGUGAGUGAUGAAGGUUUUCGGAUCGUAAAGCUCUGUUGUUAGGGAAGAACAAGUGCAAGAGUAACUGCUUGCACCUUGACGGUACCUAACCAGAAAGCCACGGCUAACUACGUGCCAGCAGCCGCGGUAAUACGUAGGUGGCAAGCGUUGUCCGGAAUUAUUGGGCGUAAAGGGCUCGCAGGCGGUUUCUUAAGUCUGAUGUGAAAGCCCCCGGCUCAACCGGGGAGGGUCAUUGGAAACUGGGAAACUUGAGUGCAGAAGAGGAGAGUGGAAUUCCACGUGUAGCGGUGAAAUGCGUAGAGAUGUGGAGGAACACCAGUGGCGAAGGCGACUCUCUGGUCUGUAACUGACGCUGAGGAGCGAAAGCGUGGGGAGCGAACAGGAUUAGAUACCCUGGUAGUCCACGCCGUAAACGAUGAGUGCUAAGUGUUAGGGGGUUUCCGCCCCUUAGUGCUGCAGCUAACGCAUUAAUCACUCCGCCU
rnacentral:rRNA from 1 species